UUUGCCCCUAGAGGCAUUGCAGGUGUGGCUGCUGUGUCACAUGUGCGUGUCAGCAAGUGGCAGAGGGGAGAGAGGAUAUGUCUGUGUUCAGUGUUGUGACCUAUGAACAUCUGAAUGAUUAGUAGCCUAACAUU